CCCGACCCCGGCCGGCCCCCGCCCGGCUCCAGUCCCCGCCACCCGUGCUAGGCACCCUGUGCGGUCGGGCAGGCAGCCGCUGCCAGCGACCUGGGCCUCUUGUCCUCUGACGCGCCUCGGGGCAGGGGCAGGGGCCGAGGCCGCCCACUAGAGGAACAGGAUCUGCCUACGCAGCUGUCUCGCCCGGCAAAGAGCGCCCAGGACCCGGGACUGCGUCCUCUUCACUGAGACCUGGCGCAUAGGGGGCCUAGUCGAGGCUGUUAAGUGAAAGCAAGCAGGGGUGGCGUGGGCCUGGCGCUCAGGUGCGCCCUAAAUGUUUGGUCAUAGCUGGCUACAAGGACAUUCGCGCAGGCUUGGAGGUGCGGGGCAGCCUGACGUGUUGCCUCUGGGGUAACCGAGGGACGCGCGGCAAACAGAGAUGGAGGACUGGCAACGGGUGCCUCGAAGAGACGGAGUUUCGGUCUCGCAGCCCAGGCUGUAGUGCAAUUGCGUGGUCUCGGCUCACUGCAACCUCUACCUCCAGAGUUCCAGUGAUAAUCCAGCCUCAGCCUUCAAAGUAGCUGGAAUUACAGGCGCACGCCACCAUGCCUGGCUUUUUUUUUUUUUUUUUUUUUUUUUUUUUUUGAGAGAGAGUUUCGCUCUUGUUGCCCAGGCUGCAGUGCAAUGGCACAAUCUCGGCUCACUGCAACCUCUGCCUCCUGGGUUCAACCGAUUCUCCUGCCUCAGCCUCCCGAGUAGCUGGGAUUACAGGCAUGCGCCACCAUGCCUGACUAAUUUUGUAUUUUUAGUGGAAAUGGGGUUUCAACAUGUUGGUCAGGCUGGUCUCAAACUCCUGAACUCAGGUCAUCCACCCGCCUCGGCCUCCGAAAGUGCUGGGAUUACAUGCAUGAGCCACCGCACCCGGCCCUAAUUUUUGUAUUUUUAGUAGAGAUGGGGGUUCGCCAUGUUGGCCAGGCUGGUCUCGAACUCCUGACCUAAGGUGAUCCACCUGCCUUAGCCUCCCAAAGUGUUGGAAUUACAGGCAUGAGCCACCAUGCCUGGCCGGUGAUUUUUUUUUUUUUUUUCCUAACUUGAGUGGGGAGACCUUAACUAAAGGAGCUGAGAGGGGAGAAUGGCAGAUAGAUGUAGGAUAAUUGAUGGUGCAAGAAACCAGAAAAGGAAAAGUAGAUGGGAAGGGGGAAAGGGGUGAGCAAAAAGUCAGAGAAGUCCGCCUCUUCCUACAAGAUUUAAAGAGUGCAUAAAGAUUGAAAUAUUUUGAGGUAGGGAGGCAUGCAUGCUUCCAUGGAUCAGCUGCCUGGAUUACCCUCUACAAUCAUCCUUAGGGCAGCUGGGGUCACUGUCCUUUAAAAUUUAAGUACAAUUGACUCCAAACCUGUGUACCACUUAAGAAACCCAGCAUACCUGCCAAUAUCUCCAGAGUUUCAUUGGGAACUUACAUUUCUCCUAAUUAUCUCAGGCCCUAAUUUCUUGUUUGCAAAAAAUAUUGUGCUCUUUGGAAGAUUUGUCACCAUAUCCCAGAUAUUAGUCCAUUUAUAUUACCUCAAAAUAUUGCACCCUACCUAUAAGCAGGAAAAAUGCCCAAUAUUAUAUUAUUAUAUUAUAGUUAUAUGAUUGUUAAAUAAACUAGAGUUUGUGGCCAUUAAAAAUCAUGGUAAAUAAAAAGAUUUAAUGAUGUGGGAAAUCUUUAUAAUUAAAAGCACAUUAUAAGGUGAUAUAGCAGAUGGUAAUAUAUAAAUAUACAUAAAUAAGUAUAAUGCGUAGAUUUUAAAAUGAGACUUUUCUUCUGUGACAUCUAUAUUUUCUUAUUUUUAUAGUGCAUGUAUAUUUCUCCUGGAAGCAGGGAAAUGGUAUCUUUAAGUAGCUUUUAAAAGUAUUUUUAAGAAAGGUGUUUUUUAAAAGAUAUUUAUGGGGUUCGAAAGAAAAAAAUAUUAGGGCUGGGCAUGAUGGCUCAUGCCUGUAAUUCCAGCUACUUGGGAGGCCGAGGCUGGUGGAUCACCUGAGGUCAGGAGUAUGGGACCAGCCUGGCCAACAUGGUGAAACCCCAUCUCUACUAAAAGUACAGGCGUGGUGGCACGCCUGUAGUCCCAGCUACUUGGGUGGCUGAAGCAUGAGAAUCACUUGAACCCAGGAGGUGGAGGUUGCAGUGAGCUGAGAUUGCACCACUGCACUCCAGUCUGGGCAACAGAGUGAGAAUCUGUCUCAAAAGAAAAAGAAAAAUAUAUUAGGACUCUGGAAAGGAAUUUGGAAAUGAAUCUUUGAAGUGUAGAUGGGACUUUAGCAAAUAGAGAUGGGCUGAGUAAGGAGACUGUCCCAGGCAGAAGGAACAGUACAACCAAGAACCCACAGUGGGAAAUAGAUGGAGUGUUCAGAGGGGAGCACCAAGAAAUCCAUUUGGCUGGAGCACAGGACUGGUGUAGAAGAAAAGUAGGGGAAUCAAUGUGGAAAGGUAAGGUAGGAAAUGGGGUUUCAUGGACUAAAAUAAAAGGAAAAAUAAUGACUAUAUCAAAAAUGGUCCUGAAUGCCAAGCUGAACCCUGUGUCUUUUGCAUGUCAGGAAGAACCACUGAGGCUUGAACAGUGCAGGUAAUAAAUUUGCAAAUAAAUUGUCCUGUAACUUCUUACUCAAUGAGGUUUGAGGUCUCAACCCAUCAGUCCUAAUAUUUGGACAUCUAAUUGACUCAGAGCAAUGAGUUAGGGGCAGCAGUCUUUGCAUUACAGCUGUUUACAGACUGAAAGUUGGGCCUUGCUUCUCUGGCUAUUAAUGACUACAAUUUCUAUUCACCAGCACAGUUUCAGAGCGAGAACAAAUUAGCAAAGAGUAAAAUGGAAAGGAAAAAGAAAUGUGCACCUUAAACUAGUACUUUGAAAACUUUUUUGACUGCAAUCCUCCAUAAGAAAUGUAUUUUACACCUCAACCCAGAACAUACGCAUGCCUGCGCGCACACACACACACACACACACACACACACACACACACCCCGUAAGACGAAAGUUUCAUGAAAUACUACCCUUAUUUUAUGAAAUGCACUCUGAUAUUUUCAACUGAUUAAUCUUAUUCUUUUUAAAUGCUGAUCAGGACCUACUACAUUGAUUCCAUAACCCACUGCUGGGUCACAAAGGACAUUGAAAAGAGGCUCAACUAUAGCCAGAUAGCCUGCACCCUUAAGCUUGCCAUGUUUACAUGUCCCAGAAAUCAACAGGACAGACGAGACUCUUCUAAGAUGCUGUGGAGGGGUGGGAUGGAAGGAUUGACAGGAGCCAUGUUUGGGUUUCUCUUCCCUUCUCAGUAUAUAUUUCCUAAUAUCAAUAUUUCUCAGGGGCUAUAAACAUUUUCUUCUUUGUCCAGCUCAAGAUACAGAUUGAACUUCAAACAAGGUAGACCAGAGACAAUUUUUUAUUUGAAUGAAUAGAAUGGUGGACUAAAAUAAAAGGAAAAAUAAUGUCUUGAUUGUAACUGUUAUCUUAGUUGUGACAAUACAUUGAGGCCAUCUUAUCUAACACUGUUGGAGUAUUAUAAGGGCAAUAAGUUUAAUCUCUUCCUUAUAAGUUUGGAAGCAAUGGAAAGGUGAAAAUAUCAGCUUUAUUACCAAUAAAGCUGAACUGAAGAAUGUGGCUUAGAUGGUGGCCAAUAAGCUUUUUAAUAUUUUUCCCUGAAUUAAAAUUAUUUCCAGCCAGGCAUGGUUGCUCACACCUGUAAUUCCAGCACUUAGGGAGGCAGAGGUGGGAGGAUUGCUUGAAUCCAGGAGUUAAAGACCAGCCUGGGCAACAUAGCAAGACCCUGUUCUCCAUAAAAAGGAAAAAAUAAAAAAUAAAAUUAUUUUCCCAAAACCUCCAUUCUCCCCUUUGCAGAGGCCUAAC
rnacentral:lncRNA from 10 species